AUAGGUUAAAGCUUUUACAUGAUAUAUCUUCAAAGCAACUUCCAUAGUGUUCCUUAACAAUCAUCCUAUAUAACUCGGGGCAGAGAGCGUUAUAGUGAUGGCUCCUUUCUCCAUGCGAGGUCGUCUUCACAAGAAUCACAACAUGCCGAUCACCAAGAAACGCUUGAAAUCGCAAACAAAAACGAAAACGAAUGGGAUGAAGGGCAGGAAAGGUUUAAGAGGUUGAAAACAGAAAUGGAGGAGAUCAGCGAAGAACAGAAGGGUAUUAGAGAAGAGUAGAGACAAGUUCGUGAAAAAUUUGAAGCAAUGGAAUCUGAGUGCGAGCAGUUGAAGAAAGAAACUAACUUCAUAAUCCAACAAAGUGCUAGAACUCAGAUCAAAUUAGUUCUCAUGUUCAAACUAUUGAACGCAAGGGAAGAGAGUGACUUUGCAACCGCUGCCAAUCUUAAUCAGUUGCUUGGGUACCUUUCUUUUUUCUUCUCCUUGCAUGAUCAAGCUUCUACAAAUUGGGCAUCUUCUUCUCUUUUUUCUUCUCUUUACUCAGUUCUUUUUUUUUUUCUAAAUUUUUCGCGAAUUAAUCAUUUUUUCCUCUUUUACACCUUUGCCAUUCAAAUUGGAAGGAAAUUCUUGUAGAGGCUUGAUCAUGCAAAGCAAAGGAAAAAGAAAGGUACCCAAGCAACUGAGUAAGGUUGGCAGCGGUAGCAAAGUCUCUCUUCCCUUGCCUUCAAAUAUUUUGAUGAACAUGAGAACUAAUUUGAUCUGAGUUCUAGCAAUAAAGUCCGCAACGUCAGUGUAUUUGGUCAGAAAGCUAAUUCGAGAGUUGUAAGAAUGUUGUCUUUGUCUAGCUUACUGCGACGAUGUCAAGUUUCAAGUCAAAUUGUUGCUAGGGAGAAGGAAGAAAGUCAAGCACUGAUGGAUGCAUGAACAAAAGUUAUUCAUUAUUCACUAUUUACAUCCAAAUAUUUGUUCAUUAUUCAUUGAUCUAGUAGAGAUGUAAAUAUUUGUUCAUGAAUGGAUAGUACAUAUUAUUCAUUAUUUUGAAUAAUGAACAAAAGUUAAUUAUUAUACCAUCCAACUUGCUAUCCGUUCAAUAUUCAAAUUUUUCUGAACUUAUUAAGAUAAAAAAGGUACUACAAACAUUUACAUCUUCUUCACGGGUGAGCUUGACGAAGUUAAUCAUCGAGUCGGAUUCCAAAAGUUGCUAUCUCAUUGGUGAAAAACGCUUCGAUCAGACUAUGAAUUCAUUAGAUUAUCUUUGAUGAUAAUGACAAACUCUGGAGAUUUAUUGGGAAGGUGGAACUCUAUCAUAUGUUUAGAGAGGUUAAUGCAUUGUGGGAUUCCUCGGCUAAAUUCGUCGAGGAUAAGAUUGUGAGGUAAUGUUUUGUGCUGGGAGAUUGUAACAGUCGGUUGUGGUGUGGAUAAGAUUGUGGUUUCACUGUGGUUCUGCUUCAUUUUGUUUUGUUGUGUGAAGUUUCAUGUUGGGGACUUUUCUGUAUUGUUUUUCUUUUUUAUGUUUGAGAAUGGUGCAGCCAUUGUCAACACAGUAAGAUGAAAUUCAUGAAUCGGUUUGCCAGUGCAGGUGGAUAGCCCGGCGCUACGUACGUAGUAGAGAUGAUGGGCGAGGGAAUAAACUCCUCAGCAAUGCUUGCGGUUGCAGAUAGGCUGACUAAAUCUGGGUUUCUCCGAAUGAAGGAUUUCAUACAAAUAUGUUGGAAUGUUUACUUUUGGAAGGCUGCCAUUUUCUCUACUUUCUUCCCUCUGUUCUGCUUUGCCAUCUUCUGAUGAACUUGUUCAAUCCUUAUUACAUUCUUA